GGUGUACACUUAAAGCGUUCUGGGAAUAUGAAUCCCUUCUGCACCCUGGAAUCACCAGUCCAGCCAUGCAUGGAGCUGGGGAAAGCAGGCCCUGAAUUGUCUAGAGAGACUUGGUGGAGGAGGCCACGGCCCGCCUUGUCCCUGCCGGGUCCCGGCCAGGAAUUGGAUGCCGGCUGGCCCCCCUGAUGGUUCCUGGCCUAGGGGCUGUCAUGGCAGAGGGAAGCCACCAAGGUGCCAUUGAGGAUUGGUGUCUGGCUCUCUAUGGGCAAGAGCGCCAGGGGACACACAGUGGGACCGGAACCUUCCAGAAUGUCUCCUCAGUCAGGGCCCUGUGCUAAUCACGAGUCUUUCCUGUUCGGAGCAGUGAGGCCUGAGACCCUCAACAGUGCUGUGUGUACAGAAGGCCCCCAGAAUCCACACAAAGGGGCCGCCUGAAACCUAGAGCAUUUGUGAAGGAGGAAAAUGGAAGGAACAACUGGAUGUUGUAAAUGUUUCUCAUCUGGCCUUAAAAUCCAUGAAAGCUGGAAAAUCACAAGGCAUCUGUGCAUAUACUGGUGGAUUUUAAUGAGAGUCCUGUGUUUGGAGCACCAGAAAUAAACCAGCUUCAGAAGCAAAGAUCUGAACGUCUAUGACACUCUUUCGAGCUGACACAGUGAAGAACAUAGAAGGAGAACUCACCCAGUCUGCCAGGGUCACAGAAUGAUCAUACUCAAGAUCUUCCUGGGGAGUCAAUGGCAA
rnacentral:lncRNA from 1 species